AUGUCGAAGCGCAAGAGCUCGCUCGACACCUGCAGCACCGCCGCCAAGCGCCCGGUGGCCGAGCGGCAGCAACACCUGUUCCUAGUGUUGGACGACUGGGAGAAGGGCUACAGCGUACGCAAGGUGGACGUCGACGCCUUGGGAGACGCCGACGCCGACGAGCGUCAGCCGAAGGCCUUCGACGAUCCGCCGCUGACCCGCUUCGACGUCGUGCACGGCCUUUCCCACGCCUUCGUCGCCCACGGCACCACGAUCGUGGCCAUGAACCCCCGCCAGGUCAGCCCCGCUAUCCCUGCCUUCGACACCGCCACCUCCGCGGUGGGCAUCCUCCCGUGGCCCGAGUUCCGCACAAGCUUCGGCAGGCCCAUCCUCGUCUCCAUCGCCGGAAAGCUCUUCAUGUUCGUCAACGGCGGCACCCACUACCUCAGCGACCCGCCGCCGCCACCGGCUCCUGCGGUGCAGAAGCCGUGGGUCUGGACCGCCCUCGACUCGUCGCUGCCGUUCACGGCCGCCUACUGCUACGCCGUGCACCCGGACGGCCGCACCCUCGUCGUGUCGGCCCGCAAGUGGAGACACGAAGCCGAGAAGGGCACCUUCUCCUUCGACACCGAGCGCCUCGAGUGGACGCGCCACGGCGACUGGAUGCUCCCUUUCCGCGGCCAGGCGCACUACGUGGCCGCGCUGGACGCAUGGGUCGGCAUCUGCCGCCACAAGGGCGGCACCGGCCACAUCUGCUCCUCGGACUUCAUGCCCGUCGGCUCCGGCGCCAGGCCGACGACCCUGCCGCGAUGGAAGCUCCUCGGAGAGGAAAAGCUGUUCGACGAUGAGUCGCCGCUGCACCUGGGCGCCACCCUCGUCCCCAUGGGCGGCGGCAGGUUCUGCCUCGUGGAGUCCACGUGGCACAAGGGCGACGAAGACGUGCGGCGGCGCAAGGGCGUGGAGAGCGGGAUGUGCAACGUGUUCAAGCGAGCUCAUGACAUGCCGGAUACGUUAGUUAGCCCUGUGGCCUUCUGGAUAUAA
rnacentral:rRNA from 1 species